AGGGAUGGACGUAUACGAGCC
rnacentral:miRNA from 1 species